AACCCACCAACAUGCUGGAUGUCAGGGCCAUCCUGUGGCUGGAGAAUUACCUGCAGACGUGGCCCUCCACUAUCCUAGUUGUCUCUCAUGACCGCAACUUCCUGAAUGCCAUUGCCACAGACAUCAUCCACUUGCAUAGCCAACGGCUAGAUGGUUACCGAGGAGACUUUGAGACCUUCAUCAAGAGCAAGCAGGAGCGGCUACUCAACCAGCAGCGCGAGUAUGAGGCACAGCAGCAGUAUCGACAGCACAUCCAGGUUUUCAUUGACCGCUUCCGGUACAAUGCAAACAGAGCCUCUCAAGUGCAGAGUAAACUGAAGAUGCUGGAGAAGCUACCUGAACUAAAGCCGGUGGACAAGGAGUCGGAGGUGGUGUUGAAGUUCCCUGAUGGCUUUGAGAAGUUCUCACCGCCAAUCCUGCAGCUGGAUGAGGUGGAUUUCUACUACGACCCUAAGCACAUCAUCUUCAGCCGCCUGUCUGUCUCUGCCGAUCUCGAGUCCCGCAUCUGCGUGGUAUGGUCGCUCUUCUCCUCUUCUGUUGAGUGUCCUGGGAGUUGUCUUCCCGAACAGGCGUGCAUUGGGCCAAUCCUGACACAGUAGAAGCAAGAGUACAAAGAGAAAUGGGCGGGGCCUAGACACAGGCACUCACACUCCCAUCGCUGCGUUCUCUGUGGUCUCAUACCUGGCAUGUGGCACUUCGUAAAUAUAUAGAGCAAGCAGUGAUUUACUCUAUAUGUUCAAACUCUUAACUGUUUCUGGUUCUGAAUUGUGACAGUCAUGAGAGAUUAAAGCAAAAACAUAGGCUAU
rnacentral:lncRNA from 1 species